GAUGAAGAACGCAGCGAACUGCGAUAAGUAAUGUGAAUUGCAGAAUUCAGUGAAUCAUCGAGUCUUUGAACGCACAUUGCGCCCCCUGGCAUCCCGGGGGGCAUGCCUGUCCGAGCGUCAUUGCUGCCCUUCAAGCCCGGCUUGUGUGUUGGGUCGUCGUCCCCCCCGGGGGACGGGCCCGAAAGGCAGCGGCGGCACCGCGUCCGGUCCUCGAGCGUAUGGGGCUUUGUCACCCGCUCGAUUAGGGCCGGCCGGGCGCCAGCCGGCGUCUCCAACCUUCUAUUUUACCAGGUUGACCUCGGAUCAGGUAGGGAUACCCGCUGAACUUAAGCAUAUCAUAAGCGGAGGA
rnacentral:misc_RNA from 1 species